rnacentral:lncRNA from 1 species
GGUAGAUACAGCACUUCCUUCAAGUUUUUCUUUGUUUCUUUUUAAAAUGUGUUUGUUGCAUUAAAGUUCCCAAAUAUCUCCAUAUCCUCCCUUCCCUGCACUACAAAAAGGCAUCAUUUGCCAAAAAGAUAUAUAUACACAUAUAAAACUACGUCUUCCUAGUUUCUGUUUGUUUCAUUUUUCCAUUGUGUCAUUUCAAAGGGUUUCUCAAGAAAGGUUAAAUAAAAGUAGAUAUGGAGUAACAAGAAUAUAGACCUAAAAGCUGGCUUUAGAGUCAGAGGACAUCAAUUCAAACCUUUGUUCUGAUUCACUGAAGGUUGAGUGGGGAUGGCACAAGCUGAGAACAGGUUCAAUUGUUACAGGAAAUUGUUAUAGCAAUUGUUUGUCCUCUGGGAAGUUCAAUGUAUUCUGUAGGCAUGAGAGAGAAAGUAGUCCUUGGAAAAAGGUGUUACAGCAAUGGGACACCAAAGGUCAGUGAUGGCAAACCUUUUAGAGACCAAGUGCCCAAACUUCAACCCUCACAUCACAUGUGGGCCCCCUAACCCCAGAGGGAGGAAGUGCUCCCAUUGGGCUACUGGGCAGAGGGGCGAGUGAGGUGAAACAUGUCAUUAGGCAUGGUGGAGAGGGGAAGGAGAGCAGCCCCCUCCGGGAUGUGUGCCAUAGAUUCAUCAAUAUGGCUAUAGGUAAUUGCCCAGGGUAAUUAAACCAUUUGAUGAAGUAGGCCAGUGGGAGACAACAAUGCAAAUUACAUGGACAAUAGUUUCCAAAGGAGGGAAUGUAUCAAAAGGGAAGGAAAGGUGCCCCCACCCUGAUGAGAUGUCACUGCAAUGGAGCCACGCCUACUUGACUGAGCCCUUCUUGAAGGCAGAAACCAUGUCUUUCAACUUAUCACAGGGCAUCUGGCUCAUCAUCAUACUCCUGAGUGCCUGGAAAAUAACAACCCAGAUUUUCAAAUAAAAUGAGCUUUGUCUCUGCCUGGCACCCACAUAUUCUUCCAUAUCAAGAGGCUGCAGCAUCCAAUAAUCAGGAAAACCUGAGUAAAUUUUUUGGCCUUCCCUUUGUACCAAGAGAAAAAGUUUGAAUAUUUUAUUUUAUGGGGUGUUCACAGUACCUUAUUUUAAAAUUAUACACAACAGCACAUAUGUCAUGUGCAUUUGUAAAUUACUAAACUUUUAAAGCUAUAUCAACAUUUCUAGCCUUUGUAUGUCAUCUGAUGACUUUCAUGUUCUUUUUGUAAACUUGUUUUUACUUAUUUUAACUUUAAAAAGAAACUGUAUGUUUAUGCU